rnacentral:rRNA from 1 species
GACGAACGCUGGCGGCGUGCUUAACACAUGCAAGUCGAACGGUAAGGCCCUUCGGGGUACACGAGUGGCGAACGGGUGAGUAACACGUGGGUGAUCUGCCCUGCACUUCGGGAUAAGCCUGGGAAACUGGGUCUAAUACCGGAUAGGACCACUGCCUGCAUGGGUGGUGGUGGAAAGCUUUUGCGGUGUGGGAUGGGCCCGCGGCCUAUCAGCUUGUUGGUGGGGUGAUGGCCUACCAAGGCGACGACGGGUAGCCGGCCUGAGAGGGUGACGGGCCACACUGGGACAGGGCUACGGCCCAGACUCCUCCGGGAGGGAGCAGUGGGGAAUAUUGCACAAUGGGCGCAAGCCUGAUGCAGCGACGCCGCGCGAGGGAUGGCGGCCUUCGGGUUGUAAACCUCUUUCAGCAGCGACGAAGCGCAAGUGACGGUAGGUGCAGAAGAAGGACCGGCCAACUACGUGCCAGCAGCCGCAGUAA